rnacentral:rRNA from 1 species
ACUCAAAGGAAUUGACGGGGACCCGCACAAGCGGUGGAUCAUGUUCUUUAAUUCGAUGCUAAACGAAGAACCUUACCAGGGCUUGACAUCCCGAGAAUUACUCCGAAAGGAGUGAGUGCUUUAUUGAACUCGGUGACAGAUGAUGCAUGGCCGUCGUCAGCUCGUGUCGUGAGAUGUUUGGUUAAGUCCAUCAACGAGCGCAACCCUUGUGAUUAGUUGUAUUUUUCUAAUCAUACUGCCCCGGAAACGGGGAGGAAGGAGGGGAUGAGGUCAGGUCAGUAUUUCUCUUACGUCCUGGGCUAGAAACGUGAUACAAUGGCAGGUACAAUGCGCUGCGAAGCCGCGAGGUGAAGCAAAUCGCACCAAAGCCUGUCCCAGUUCGGAUUGGAGGCUGAAACUCGCCUCCAUGAAGUCGGAAUCGCUAGUAAUCGCAAGUCAGCAAAUUGCGGUGAAUACGUUCCCGGGUCUUGCACACACCGCCCGU